rnacentral:rRNA from 1 species
UGGGGAAUUUUGCGCAAUGGGGGCAACCCUGACGCAGCAACGCCGCGUGCGGGACGGAGGCCUUCGGGUCGUAAACCGCUUUCAGCAGGGAAGAACCAUGACGGUACCUGCAGAAGAAGCUCCGGCUAACUACGUGCCAGCAGCCGCGGUAAUACGUAGGGAGCGAGCGUUAUCCGGAUUCAUUGGGCGUAAAGCGCGCGUAGGCGGCUCGCCAAGCGGGGUCUCAAACCCGGGGGCUCAACCUCCGGCCCGACCCCGAACCGGCGGGCUCGAGUUCGGUAGAGGAAGACGGAAUUCCCGGUGUAGCGGUGAAAUGCGCAGAUAUCGGGAAGAACACCGAUGGCGAAGGCAGUCUUCUGGGCCGACACUGACGCUGAGGUGCGAAAGCUAGGGGAGCGAACAGG